UUGCUUCAGCAGCACAUACACUAAAAUUGGAACAAUACAGAGAAGAGCAGCAGUACCCUUGCACAAGGAUGACAUGCAAGUUCAUGAAGUGUUCCAUAUAAAA